GUGCUCUCUACCAUUGUCAUA
rnacentral:miRNA from 1 species